GGGGCGGUAGUUCAGCAUGGUGUAGAACGCCGGCCUGUCACGUCGGAGGUCGCGGGUUCAAGUCCCGUCCGCCCCGCCA
rnacentral:tRNA from 3 species